rnacentral:rRNA from 1 species
UGGGGAAUAUUGCGCAAUGGGCGAAAGCCUGACGCAGCAACGCCGCGUGAGUGAAGAAGGCCUUCGGGUUGUAAAGCUCUUUCGGCCGGGAAGAAGGGUGUGCGGGUUAAUACCCUGUACAUUUGAUGGUACCGGAAGAAGAAGCACCGGCAAACUUCGUGCCAGCAGCCGCGGUAAUACGAAGGGUGCGAGCGUUGUUCGGAAUUACUGGGCGUAAAGGGUUCGUAGGCGGGACUUCAAGUCGAAUGUGAAAACCCUGGGCUUAACCUGGGACGUGCAUUCGAAACUGAGGUUCUUGAGUUUUGGAGAGGGUGGUGGAAUUGCUGGUGUAGGAGUGACAUCCGUAGAGAUCAGCAGGAACGCCGGAGGCGAAAGCGACCACCUGGCCAAGGACUGACGCUGAGGAACGAAAGCGUGGGGAGCAAACAGG